AGCAGAGACACUAGAGGCGGCGGCGGCAGCAGCAACAUGUUUGGGAAUCGGAAAUCUGAAAAGUAAAUUGUGACUAGUUUAGCCGAUUGGGGAAAGCAGAGAAGCAAUCAGACUUACAUCACCGAAGCUGCAAAAGGAAUCAGUGACGCUAGUCACCUAUGGAGGAAACUUUUAGAAGAGGUUUCCUGCUCCACCAGGACAAGGAAAUAAAGAAAGAUGACUUGGUAUGUAUGAAGCAGGAGACCCAACACAGGAGAGGAGGGAGCGAUCUCCCAGGAAUGCUGUGAGGGGCGUGCCGACGCCCACAGCUGCUCAGCAGGGCGGGAGGGGAGCCGGUCCCACUGGAGCAGGUGAGAGACUGAGAGAAGGGAUGUCGUUCAGAGUAUGUGACAGGCUACUGAGUGUGUCUGAGCAAACUGGGGAAUAUUUGGGGGUUAUAGAGUAAUGAACGGUAAGCACAUGCAAACAACACACAAAAAGACAUUUAUUAGGUCAAGGGGAAUGGAGAGGUUAUGCAGCAAGUCACGCCUGUGCAGUCAUAACAACUAUAUUGGACCAAUGGGAUGAGACAAGAGCUGGUGAGGCUGGGGGAGGGGGUUUCUACAACAAGGCCUAUAGAACUGUUUGGACCUUUAAACUGUGUGCAUGAAUAACUUUGAUAAAAAUAAAUAAAACUAUGAAAUUAAUAACAAACAGCUUAAGUAAAAUAAAGACCGGGACCUCUAAACGGGAAUGGAGGUGAAAAUAGGGAUCAGCGCCCUGUUGUUUUUUGUGAAAGUCUCAAAAAAUAAUGGGAUUUUUUUGUUUUUGCUUCUUCCUGAACAUUUGUGAUUGAAGUAGGACAUACACACCCAAAGGGCACAUAUCAUAAAUAUACUACUUGAUUUUUUUCGCAGUGUGAACACAGUUUGCAACUACCACUCAGAUCAGGGGACAGUUACAGUAUAUUCUUAUCAGACAGCCCCAUGGACCCCCAUCCAAUCACUGUCCCCAAGGGGGAGACCCUCCUGACUGACAUCAUAGAUUAACAUCCACUAUUUUGUAUUUUAUAUAAAUAAGAGUCACACAGUCUGUCAUCCUUCAUGUCUGACUUCCUUCAUUCAGUGUCAUGUCAGUGAGACUCACCCAUGGUGUGUGUGCGGUUGCAGAGUCGUGGUCCACCCAGUUUCAUUCCGUGAUACCCCGUAGCGAGAAUACGCCACGGUUUACCUGUUCUCCUGCUAAUGGCAUCCGUACGGUUUCCGGUCUGGAGCCACUACAGUGCUUCUACUGGUGCUGCUAUAAACAUUUUAGUGAAUGCUUUGCUAGACAUUAUAUAUGUAUUUCUGUGGGAUAUAUAUACCUCAGAAUGGAAUUGCUUGGCCAUAGGAUUCAUGUAUGUUCAGUUUGGAUAUUACCAGUGCCAGACAAUUUUCCAAAGUGAUUUACCAAUUUGCAUUCACACCAACGGUGUAAAAGAGUUCCAGUUGCUCCACAUCCUGGCCAACUCUUGCUGUUGGUGAUGUUUUUCAUAUUAGUCAUUCUGGGGCCAUGUAGUGGUAUUGCAUUGUGGUUUCAGUAAGAAUCUCUCUGAUGACUAAUGAAACUGAGUACUUUUUCAUAGAUGUAUUGGCCACUUGAAUGUCAUCCUUUAUGAAGUGUCUCUCCAAGUUUUUUGAUCAUUUUUUGUUGCGUUUUCUGUCUUCUGUUGAUUAGUAGAAAUUCUUCAUUAUUUUCUCAUUGGUCUUUUGUUGCCUAUAUGUACUGGGAAUAUUUUCACUCAUUCUGUGGGUUAACUAUUUUAUUUUUGAACUUACAAAAUACAAAAAUAAAAGCAAGACCCAAAUAUGCUCUCAAUAAAUACAAAUAUAAAGCCAUAUCUCAGUUAAAAAGAAAAGGAUGCAAAUGCAAAAAGAUUUACUAUGCAAACGCUCACCAAAGGAAAGCAGCGGGACUCUAUUCACAUCAGACAAGCUGGACUUCACAGUAAGGAGUGUUAGCCGGGAUGAGGAGGGCACAGCAAUAAAGGAAUCAAUUCAUGAACAAGACAUGACAGCCCUAAGUGUUCAUGCUGAACACAGCUUCCAAAUACACACAAUACAACUUAUAGAACUAAAAGGCAAAAGAGAUACAUCCACGAUUACAGUCGGAUACUUUAAUACUCCUGUCUCAGGAAAGGAUAAUACAAGUAGACAGGAAAUCAGCAAAGAUAUAAAGACCUGAACACACUAUCAAUACAUUUCACCUAACUGACUUUUAUAGAACAUUUCACUCAACAACGGAAGAGCAGCAUUCUUUUCGAAAGUAUACGGAAAUUCAUCAAUAUAGAUCACAUUCUGGGUUAUAAAACAAGCCUCUACAAAUUUAAAAUAAUUGAAAGCAUGGAAGGUAUGUUCUCUGACCACAGCUGAAUUAAAUUGGAAACCAAUAACAGAAUGAUACCUGAAAAAUCCCCCAAGUAUUUGCAAAUUAAACAACACACUUCUAAAUAACCCAUGGAUCAAAGAGGACGUCACAAUGGAAACUGGAAAAUGUUUUGAAUUGAAGUAAAAUGAAAUCACAACAUUCCACAAUUUAUGGGACGCAGCCAAAGUGGUGCUUGAACGGAAAGUUAUACGUUAAACAAGAAAUAAGAGAAGGUUCAAAUCAGAAAGCUAAUCUCCAGCCUUAAGAAACCAGAAAAAGAAAAGCAAAUUAAAUCCAAAAUGAGUAAGGAAGGCAAUAAAAAAAGAGCUGGAAUCAAUUAAAUUGAGAAGAACAAUAAAGAAAAAUCAACCCAAAUUGCGUUCUUUGAAAAGAUCAUUAAAAUCAAUAAGCCUAUAGACAAACACAUCAAGGAAAACUAUUUUAAAAAUCUAUAGAGGCAGAAAUCAGAUCACUAUUGGCCAGUAGUUUCACACGGGGGAGGGAGCUCACUGCAAAGGAGCAGGAGAGAGUAUUGGGGGAAAUGGAAUGUUCUCUGACUUGAUCGUGGGGAUGUAUCCUAUUGUAUACGGUUGUCAAAAACACACAAAACUGUGCACCUCAAAAGAAUGCAGUUCACUGUGUGUAAAUUAUAUCUCAAUGAAUCUGAUGUUGAAGAAAAUACCAGAGUGCAACUUAGCAAUUUAUGAAGGAGAAUUUCACGACACUUUUUAGAUGCCUGUGUGCUGUGUACUGUAGUGUAAACUGUGUUUCUCUGAAUCCCGUAUAUUGUGGUUAAAAAAGAAAGAAAGCCGUUGUUCUAGAAUAUGCCAAGGUCUUUCCUGCCUUCAGACUUCCAACUAGCUGCUCCCUGGAAUGCUGGGGUUGUUCAUUCUCCCACUUCAAGUCACCUUAGGGAGGCCUUUCCACACCACUCUUUCUAGUAACUGAUCGUUACUAGAUACACUAUCUCUCUAACGCCCUGAGGGUAAAAUUGUAACAUUUCCAGAGUAUCUCGCCCGGCUUUAGUGCAUUUGCAUAUCCUCAGGGGUGGGGAGAAGUGCAUCUCCGUGUCAACGGGUAAUUGCCUGGGCAACUGAGGGCGUGUCUGAACCUGAGAGUUUAAGGGGAGGCGCAGGUCGCUGGCCUGCUUGCUUCUGCCGGAGCAGCGGGGAGAGCAGGCCCUGGACUGCAGUUUGUAAGCAAUAAACGGGUUUUUAACUUUAUUUCUCCCUUUGACUGAUUUCGGUUUUUAGAGGUAUUUUUCCCCGGGAUUUCCUCUCUCCGGACUUACACUCCCUCUCAAACUGUUUAUUGCCUUCAUACCACUUUCUACGAUCUGUCAUUUUGCUACUUCUGAAGCAAUACAUUGUGUCUGUGGCCUUGUCGAUUACAAUCAGACAACAGCUUUAUCCUGAUGCCCAGAGGCCCCCUGCAAUCUGCCCUGCGGGAACUACUUCUUCCCCUGCCCCUGAACAAUACGCAGAAGCAGAGCCUGUCUGCUCAAUCUCUGGUAUAGAAAGUCCUCCAAACUUCAUUUUCAAUUAAGUUUCUUGUAUGUGGUACAUAUGCACAAUGGAAUAUUACUCAGCCAUAAGAAAGAAACAAAUCCUACCAUUUGCAGCAACAUGGAUGGAGCUGGAGGGUAUUGUGCUCAGUGAAAUAAGCCAGGCGGAGAAAGACAAGUGCCAAAUGAUUUCCCUCAUCUUUGGAGUCUAAGAACAAAGCAAACACUGAAGGAACCAAACAGCAGCAGAUUCACAGAACCCAAGAAUGGACUAACAGUUACCAAAGGGAAAGGGACUGGGGAGGAUGGGUGGGAAGGGUGGUAUAAGAGGAGAAAUGGGCAUUAUGAUCA